GGGCUGGAUGGCCAAUGCACUUCCUCCAUAAAGGUGAACACCACGACCGGUGGAACUGCCAGUCUGGCACAGUCGAGUUGUAUCUAGUGCGGCAUUCGUGUCAACUGGGUGCAAUCACAGGCAUUCUCAGUGGACGGUGAGCUUGCUCAUGUUAUCGGUCACUGGUUGUCAACGGGUCUGUUCGUCGGUGCUUGUAAUGCCCGGUGGAUGGCCUGGUGGGCUGUGUUGGUAUGAAUAACUGUGCAGGGCACCGGAGUUAGCGGCCUCAAAUCCGGGUUGGCUCGUACAUUACAAGUACAGCAUGAUGGCGUUAAUGCGGCCUGUCGUUGGUCGGGUCUGAUUGUCGUGUUGCCCGCACAAAGUGGGUUCGGCAGUGGCCUGGUCGCGGUCGGCGUUGUAUUUGGCGUUGUCGUGUGUCAGCCGGUGUUGGUCUAAAAGUCUGUGGUGUAGUGGUAGACGAGCUACCCGACCCGUCUUGAAAC
rnacentral:rRNA from 1 species